UGGGGAAUUUUGGACAAUGGACGCAAGUCUGAUCCAGCAAUGCCGCGUGCAGGACGAAGGCCUUCGGGUUGUAAACUGCUUUUGUACAGAACGAAAAGGCUCUGGUUAAUACCUGGGGCUCAUGACGGUACUGUAAGAAUAAGCACCGGCUAACUACGUGCCAGCAGCCGCGGUAAUACGUAGGGUGCGAGCGUUAAUCGGAAUUACUGGGCGUAAAGCGUGCGCAGGCGGUUUUGUAAGACCGAUGUGAAAUCCCCGGGCUCAACCUGGGAACUGCAUUGGUGACUGCAAGGCUGGAGUGCGGCAGAGGGGGAUGGAAUUCCGCGUGUAGCAGUGAAAUGCGUAGAUAUGCGGAGGAACACCGAUGGCGAAGGCAAUCCCCUGGGCCUGCACUGACGCUCAUGCACGAAAGCGUGGGGAGCAAACAGG
rnacentral:rRNA from 1 species